rnacentral:tRNA from 1 species
UUUAAUAUGGCAGAUAAGUGCAAUGGAUUUAAGCCCCAUAAAUAAAGUAAAGCCUUUUAUUAAAA